AGUGCGUUGGUGUAGUGGUCUAACAUGCUUGCCUGUCACGCAAGAGAUCAUGAGUUCAAAUCCCAUACGCACUGCAA
rnacentral:tRNA from 1 species